AGUGAACGCUGGCGGUAGGCCUAACACAUGCAAGUCGAACGGCAGCACAGUAAGAGCUUGCUCUUACGGGUGGCGAGUGGCGGACGGGUGAGGCAUACAUCGGAAUCUAAUUUUUCGUGGGGGAUAACGUAGGGAAACUUACGCUAAUACCGCAUACGACCUACGGGUGAAAGCAGGGGAUCUUCGGACCUUGCGCGAUUGAAUGAGCCGAUGUCGGAUUAGCUAGUUGGCGGGGUAAAGGCCCACCAAGGCGACGAUCCGUAGCUGGUCUGAGAGGAUGAUCAGCCACACUGGAACUGAGACACGGUCCAGACUCCUACGGGAGGCAGCAGUGGGGAAUAUUGGACAAUGGGCGCAAGCCUGAUCCAGCCAUACCGCGUGGGUGAAGAAGGCCUUCGGGUUGUAAAGCCCUUUUGUUGGGGAAGAAAAGCAGCAGGUUAAUACCCCGCUGUUCUGACGGUACCCAAAGAAUAAGCACCGGCUAACUUCGUG
rnacentral:rRNA from 1 species